UCAACAGUUCAGUUCUCCCGGCCGGCGCCGCGCCGGCGCAUGGAAAUGAGCCUGUCUUCGGCUGACGGGAGCUCAGCAGAAACUCAUCAGCAGAUGAUCAAAGUUUAGAGUUCAGAUGAAGGGCCUCAGAACUCGUCUCAGGGAGGUUGGGGCCCCUUCGUGCCCUGUGGAUGGAAUUUCAUUAGCUUGUAACUAUGACAGGUUAUAAUCAACCUGUCCAAUUUUAAUCUCUUCCAUAGCUAUGCUCUAGAUUUUUAAUUUUUUUUAUCAUUUGCUUUAGUUGACUUGUGAAUGUGCCCUGCUGAAAGAAAAGACUCCCUAACCUGUUCCCUUCAGGCAACUGGAAAAGUUCCUCGUGCAGCCAGCCAGCGAUGUGUUUAAAUGUCAGUGCCCAAGAGACAGAUGUUAAGGGAACGUGGUUCAUCAGAAAGGAUUAAUCACUCUUUGUUGGACUACCUAAGAGGAAACGGCAUUAAACACCCAGCUUAAUUACCUAUGUUGCGGCAGCUCCAAAUUGCAAGUUUGAUUUGGCCGCUGAUGGAAAAUGUAUCGCUCUAGGACCUAGAAAAGGUAAGGAGGACUGUGUCCCAAGAGAUCCUUCAGCUGGAGCACAAAGCCCUCUGGUGAAAGAAGUGACUCCAUUCAAGCAGGAGCUCCCGUUCUCGCUCCUGACUGCAUGGCAAAAGGGACAGGAAAGCCUCAACGCUCCAAAAACGUGCACAGGACUCUGGAAACACCAUGCCAUCCCGAAUUAGCUCAUAAUUAGCGGCUGUCCCACGCCAACCAAGAAGUCGUCAUGAGAGCAAGAGCAGAAGCCCAGGGGUGGUGGGUGACUCAUAGGACCUGCCAGAGCUACGGGAUGCUCAGGACACCGUGGAUGCGAUGUGCGUUGGCAGCGUUGCUUCCCAAGCUUUCCUGCAGGCCCAAAUAAAUAAGGAUUUAGCCUUGGAAAGGACCCAGUUAGACCUUUGGAGCGGGCCUUUGUCUUCACCUUAAGGACUGAGAAACUCACUGGGACUGUUCAAGGGCAGGAUCGGAGCUGUCAGACUGCUAGAGAAGAGCACAGGAGAAAACACAGCUGUGCUGGGAAGCCACAUCUGUAACAUCGCUGCCGAGCUACAGCAGAAGCGUGACACGCUGGCGCACCCUUAAUUAACAAGCGUUUCCACCCUGAUAUACCGUGAGCCAGGUACAACAGCGAGUUCAGCGCGCGGGUGUCUGCGCCGCAAAGGGUUGCAGCAACGUGUUCCCAAAGCUGCCUUCUCCUGCCUGCGGUUGCCCGCCGAGCUCCGAGGAGCACAUCCAACGCUGUUGUGGUUUUGGCCAAAUUGGCCAAUGGCCGGUGACAGAUGCUCCCCCCCACCUCUCGCACAAGGAGAGAAGGAGGAGAGAUAAAGAGAUUUAUGAGUUUAGAAGGAACUAAACUACUUUAAUGACAUAUUAAUAAUAAAACAAAAAGAAAAUAAUGAAAUGGACACGAUACAUACAAAACCAUAUCAAGCUCCCAGGAUGACGUCACCGGCAGGCACUGGGGAAGUCCCAGCCUGGACUCAGCGACGGGUGGGAACUGGAUUCCAGAGUUGGAGUCAGGAAUGCUCGUAUCGGGAUCCAAGGCAGAUGAACAGACAGGGGCCUCCUCAGACAUCAACCACCGAAUAAAGAGAGUUGACCCUUUGACCCCUCAGCUUUUAUACUGAGCAUGGGGCAGAUGGGAUGGAAUACCCUGGUGGUCAGUUCGGGGUCCCCUGUCCUGUCCCCUCUUCCCUGCAGGUGGGACCCCUCUACGCUUCUCCGCUUCCGACCCUCCAAGGGGGCAAGUAACAAAGUGAGCUGACCUUGGUUGUUAUAGCAAGAAGUAUCAGCCAGAGCCUCUCUGCGUGCCAUUCCUUGGCACUAUCUGUAAACAUUGGUCUUAUCACUCUGAGAACGAACUGUUUUCGGCACAACAUGCUGCUAAUUUCAGAGAGUUAGAAGAGGCCUAGCUAAGAAGGAAAAUUACUGAACAGAAAGUUGGUUCUGUUUUACCUCAAACCAGGACAAACACACAUCCCCAUUUCCAUUCCCACCAUAAUUCUGACGGUGCUUACAUGCAUUUAUGCCGAGACCUUGUCUCAUUUCCCAGCCUCGCAUUGGAUUCCCCUGCUCACCGUAACCAGUGUCUGAGCGCUGAUUGUCUUGUUGGCAUCUAUGGGCCACCGCAAAACUGCAUUGCAACCCUGGUCACCGGAGCUGCCGGUCUGGUUUGUGCUUUGUGGUUUUUGUUGAGUAGAGUGGUUUUUGUUGAGUAGAAGCCCAUGCUAAUGACUCCUGAGCUAGUAACACCUUCUUGGCACUGCUCGUACCAUCUGCCAUAUCUAGAGACGUUCUCCUCCAGCAGAAAGACAUCCCAGACUGGUUCACACACCCGGCAGCUCCCUCUCCCCUUUUUUGUGAUAUUUGUGAAGCCCCUGGUAGCUGCGUGAUGGUACAGCCCUGGUGCCAUCUUCACGCUUCCCUUGGCAGGAGCCCUCCAACAACCCAACAGACGGCAGCCCCAGCUCUAUCCUCACCAAACCCAGGGACAAACUCCCAGAGACUCUGUGAGUCUGGCCAGGACAUCGUGGACUAUUUGUACGGGUUGGAAAAGCAGGAGGUGGGAGAUAACCACAUCCAUGUCACCUCUUGGGCAUUUCAGUUGCUCACAGCAACCUGGGAUGCCACAGGGCAAAUCUGGUGGUUCUGUCUAACGCAGCAUGAUUUAGAGCCUCUCAGGUUUGCUAAGGCUCCCUGGGCGCUUCUUACCCCCUCUCUGCUGAUGCAUAAAGCAAUCUAAAUAAGUGUAAUUUAUGCACCAAAGAAAAGGUGCGAGUUUAAACGACUCCCAGCCUAAAAUAGCCUCUAAGUGGGGAGAGAGAGAAAGGGGAGUCUUAACUUUAUGCCACAUAGAGCAUCAUCUCUGAAUUUGGCCCUGGGCCUCAAAGCUUUUAAAAAUCAAGAGUAAAUUCAGUUUGGAGGAGGUCAUAGACGGCUCUGUGCGCCUCUCCAGGCCUUUGUCAGCGAGUCCUGGCCCAAGCAAGGCAGGCACGAGCAAGGCGAGGAGCGAAGAUGACUGGGAGAGGCAACGCUUGGUGCUGAUGAAGAGCCUGAUUUUCCACUGCCGGUUCCUCCCCUGCCUGUUUCCAAUUCUGCAAAGCGGAGAUAAACCAAGGCCGUUCCACUCGGUAACCAGUGUACACGAACGCACGCGCCCAGCGACGAAGCAACAGCCCCUUCGCGCCCCGCUCAUUAAGCACAUCCCGGCUGACCGUCUUUUUCGCACUUCGAUGCUCCCUUUACGCACAGGACAAGCUGUUUUCCAACCAGGUGGCUCCCGCUGUAUCAGGCACACGCGGAUUUAUUGCUAUCGAUACUUUGCUGAAGUAUUUCCAAAACUUGGGCCAUCCUGCCCAGUGCACACUUCGUGCUUAAUUGUCACUACAGGCGCUGCUAAUAUUGAUAGCCCGUGACCUGUCUGCAACCCGCGGCAGUCAAUAACGCCGUCACGAGGGCUGGCAUGGUAAGUGCCAUUGCUGAUGCCGGGCUGAUAACAUUACGCGCCCGUGACAUGUGAAUCAACCUCAGGGUAAGUGAGCUGAUUUAGAAUAUAAUGAAUAAAUAUCCCCGGGUUAGAAGAGGGGAUGCUGUCAAAGGCUUUCUAAAAAUAGUUGGUAAUUGGCUUUGUGUUAGGCUUAUUAUUGCCUGUGACGGUCUCUUAGAAGUUUUGAAACUGCAGACUCCUCCCCAGGCGCAUCCCUGCGCUCCAGAGCCGCGCUCUCAAGGCCCAGGCUCUCUCUGCGUCCCAGCUGCAAAUACCCAGCAGAGGAGUAUCUGUGGGCAAUGCCCUGCUCCACGCAGGACGAAAAAAGCCCUCAUAGAUACUUUUCUGGAAGCAUUGUCUCCCGGUGUUUGGGGCACUUGUUUGGUUGGGGACAGGUCUGAAGGGUGCAGAUGAGGAACAUAAAUUCCAGGAGGAUUUACGGACCCUGUUACUGAUCACCGCGAGCUGGCUGCGCUGGUUCUCAGCGUGAACUCCUCAACUCCCAGAACUUUUUCUGCUAAGUAGCUUUUGGGAAAAAAAAAACAAAAACCAAACCACCCAAGUUUUCUGGUUGAAGUGUUUGUGCCAAGAGCUCCAGCUCAGCUCUGAAACAAAUCUGAUCUCCUGUGCACAGAAAGGCUUGGACUAAAAAGGAGCAGCACUGCCCUGUUCCCUCCAGGGCAGGUUCUCUGGCUCUUACAUCUGGAGAGGGGCUGGUCCCUGCGCUCCUUGGAGACGCCCCUAGAGCCACGUGGUCCUUUCAAAGAACAUCCCCCAAAGAGGCCAUUAACCAAAACAUGAGGCAUUAUUAUGAAGUCUCCAUGGCCAGCUGGCUGGGCACAUCUGCUCCGUGAUACCUAUUUACCGGUGCAGUGAAGGGGAAGAGGGGGCGUCCACGGCCGUCCUGCUCCCUGCUGUAUCGGUGGCCAGCCCUGUGCUGCGGCGCAAACGAGCCUAGGCGCUUAGAGGGGACAACAGUCUGUUCUCAUCCGGUUCCUGGUAUCCUCUCGUUGACAACCCCUCGCAGGCUGAAGGCACAGCCGGAGUUGGCGUUGUUCCCUGGGCAGGUUUCAGUUGUCCCCCCGCUGCUCCGUGGGCGAGGGCUGCUCAGUGGAUGGGGCUCGGGGAGAUUCGCAAGCCGCGGAUGGCAAUUGCUCCCCUACGAGCUGGGCCGCUGCGAGGACGCUGCGAGGCAGUCGCACCGGUAUUCUUACAGCCCCCCACAAAGACCGACUCCUACUCCAAGCUUACACAGGGAAGCGGCUUUUCUUCUUUUUCAGAUUCUUUGUCCUCUUAUUCGGAAGGAUGCACGGAGCAAAAAGGGACCUUGUAGUCUUUUGGCGCAGAGAAAACAACGUGCGUAGGGGCAGGAGGACCUUCGGCAAGGAUCUCAAACCAGCACGCUCCCAGCUGGGGAAAAAAAACACCCGCUGGGAAGUUUUCAGCCUUUUCCAGCCUCUGUCGACCAUCCCCUGUGUGUCCACCCUCCGUAUCGCAAGUUGGCUCUAAAGGACCCUUUAAACGGCCCGAGCCUUUAGUUAUCCACAGACAGUAUCUAAAAGGCUUAAAAUACAUCAGCAAUCACAGCACUAAAGCCUAAAGGGUUUUUCAACCAAGAGAGCGAAAUCUGUGGAAGAGGCCUGAUGGAGCCUCUUGUGACCGUGUAAGAGUGGAUGAGCUCAGGCUGCUCCUGGCCGAUUAACGCCGCUCUCCGAUUGAAACCUCAGGGCCCAGCUCAGCCCUCUAGCACCGCCUUUAAUCACAUCUCUCUGAUUUUACACCAGGGGACACAAAGGCUGCAGGGAUGGCUACAGACUGCAGCAGCAUCUCCGACCGUGCUGGUCGCACCAGCAUCCCGGGCUGGUUUGUAGCGAGAGUGGAUUUUGGAGGAGAAGCCCCCACCUGCAAACGGGCUUGGACCUUUUGGAUGUCCCAGGCUGGACAGAUAUUUCCAGUUUGUCCCAAAUCGUGAGGGUAAGGAUGUCUCCUCCUUUCCCCACCUGAAGCCACUCCGCUGCCUUCUGCUCUGUGAUCAAACUCCUGCUGCCUGUGAUGGGAUUUAGAUGAGGUGUUUCUUCCGCAGGCUCUUGCAUUAAAGUUCAUACGUAUCUUUAAGCACACGUGGAGGAAAGCCUUGAGCACUGCAAUUCACCCAAAUCUUCGUGACUCCUUUUAUUUUCACAUUAAGUGUUUUUUCUUUAUGAAAGGAAUAAAAGAACUAUAACAAUCACAAUGAAAUAAGAAAGUGAAUGCCUAGAGGUAACUACAAUAUAAAAUCAUAUUCAUCAUAUCAUAAUAUUUUACAUUUGCUUGUUGUUUUAUGCGGAUUAAAAACCCCCUCGACGCAGGAUCUAACAGCAGCAAGACAAGCUGCGGAAGAGGAAGGGAAACAUGGGGAAAGCAAUGUGCAGCCCCGGGCAGGGGGACAGCCAGACGUGGUCUCUUAGCCAGCGAGCUAUAAUUCCACCUGGCCGUGGCAUCCCUUCCCUCCAGCGUGUCGACCAUCCGACACCAAGCCGUGUGGCACGGUCGACAGGCUGGAGGGAAGGGAUGCCAUCCAGAGGGACCUGGACAGGCUGGAGAGGUGGGCCCAUGCCAACCUCAUGAGGUUCAACCAGGCCAAGCGCAAGGUCCUGCACCUGGGUCACGGCAACCCCAGGCACAAAUACAGGUUGGGCGGAGAAUGGCUUGAGAGGAGCCCUGAGGAGAAGGACUUGGGGGUGCUGGUGCGUGAGAAGCUCAACACGAGCCGGCAAUGCGCACUUGCAGCCCAGAAAGCCAACCACACCCUGGGCUGCAUCAGAAGAAGCGUGGGCAGGGGGGCGAGGGGGGCGAAUCUGCCC